rnacentral:rRNA from 1 species
UUCCGGUUGAUCCUGCCGGAGGCUACCGCUAUUGGAGUUCGAUUAAGCCAUGCGAGUCGCGAGAAAUUAGAUUCUCGGCGUACCGCUCAGUAACACGUGGGUAACCUGCCCUAUGCUGGAUAAUAACCUCGGGAAACUGAGAAUAAUGAUCCAUAGUUCACUACGCCUGGAACGGUGAGUGGAUGAAAGCUCCGGCGGCAUAGGAUGGGCCUGCGGCGUAUCAGGUUGUAGGGGGUGUAACGUACCCUCUAGCCCUCUACGCGUACGGGUGUUGGGAGACAUAGCCCGGAGAUGGAUUCUGAGACACGAAUCCAGACCCUACGGGGUGCAGCAGGCGCGAAAACUUGGCAAUGCGAGAAAUCGUGACCAGGGAACUCCAAGUGCAUCGGGUAAGACCGGUGCUUUUCUUGACUCUAAAUAGGUCUUGGAAUAAGGGGUGGGUAAGGACGGUGCCAGCCGCCGCGGUAAUACCGGCGCCUCAAGUGGUAGUCGCUUUUAUUGGGCCUAAAACGUCCGUAGCCGGUCUGAUACAUUCGUGGGUAAAUCAACCAGCUUAACUGGUUGAAUUCUGCGAGGACGGUCAGACUUGGGACCGGGAGAGGUGUGGGGUACGCUCAGGGUAGGGGUAAAAUCCUGUCAUCCUGAGCGGACCACCUGUUGCGAAGGCGCCACACUAGAACGGAUCCGACGGUCAGGGACGAAGCCUAGGGGCACGAACCGGAUUAGAUACCCGGGUAGUCCUAGGUGUAAACGCUGUGGACUUGAUGUUGGGGGUGCUCCGAGCACUCUCAGUGUCGAAGCGAAGGUGAUAAGUCCACUGCCUGGGAAGUACGGUCGCAAGGCUGAAACUUAAAGGAAUUGGCGGGGGAGCACCGCAACCUGAGGAUUGUGCGGUUUAAUUGGAUUCAACGCCGG